rnacentral:tRNA from 1 species
AGGGGGUUGGUGUAAUGGAAGCACAUCAGACUUUGAUUCUGGCGGAGAAGGAUCGUAACCUUCACCCCCUGCCA